UCCAUGUUUCAGCACGUUUACCCUGACCUUUCUACACAGAGUGAGGGCAAGGGAAGCAACCGAAUAGUCACUCUUUUUAACUCGGUAAGCUACAAUCACUGUUACCCCGAGAAGGAAAUAAGUCCCACUAUUGGGCUUAAAGUCAGAAAGGGUGGGCACUAGAACGCUGUGAGGCAGAGGGUAAAGAUACUGGAAGGGGGGAGGUAUUGGAGCCAUUAAUUCAGUCGAUUUACCACAGAGACCAAUUUUCUUCCCUGGCUGAGAACCGCUGGAAAUAAACACAACAAUAAGCCUGCUGGAGAGGCUGCCAGGCGGCUACCAUCCCCCAGGAAAGAACUGAAGCUUCAAAUUGCCUAGGAUCAAUUCCAAAAAGGAGAAUGAAACAGCCCAGAAAGCUGGAGUCCUUCGUCUCACGCUGCUGUUACGGCAGGAAGCACUAGGAGAAAGGGAGAUUACCCGUAAAAGAGUGCUACCUUUCUUCCGAGGGAUAGAAACAAUUCUGGGAAUAACGCAGGCUCCUCCUUGUUGCUCUAAGAAUUUACAGUAAAGAAACAAGACCAGCUACAGUCAAUUGAGACCAACGUGCCCAUGAUUCUGCAGAAAAUAACAAACUGGAGAUGUUGACACAGUGGCUGAAGCCUCUGCCUCGGUCAUGUGUGAGAACUAUGUCCUGGGAGCACAGCACUUUACUGACUCCAGAGAAAUUCAAGGCCAAGACACAGAAGAGUAGGGAGCCUGCUUGCCUUUCUACCCCUCACAGGACCAGGAAUUCAGAGAUGGCAGUGCUGAGUCCUGUUCAUCUCAAGUCUAGAGAAAACUAUAUUCGGACAUUCCUGAACAGCAAGGGGCAAAAAUCUUCUAGCAGACAUCCAUUGGAGGAGGGGUGAGUUUGCUCCUGGCCUGCGAAAGAAGCCUUGUCAAGGAGGAAUUAAGACUUUCCCCGAUCCCCUUGAAUACCUGGUAACCCUGCAGUGGUGGCUUCACCCUGCGGAGCUCUCCUGCCUCCCAUCCCAGCUUUCAUCCAGGUACA